CCAUGUAGUUUUAUUUUAAAUGUGUAAUAUGCCUUUUGACCACGCGGUGGUGCUCCGGCGCACGGAGCCUGUGCACCUCCCAAACGAGGACCACCCCGGUGCCCCAUUAGAACCUUCCCACCAAUUAAUCAGAACGUUCGCACUUGCAACAUUGGUGUGAAACUGCAAGGGAAGUAAUUAAUGAGCGCUCUCCUGGGUGGCUACCAGGGGGAGCGUUC